rnacentral:rRNA from 1 species
UACGUAGGGUGCGAGCGUUAUCCGGAAUUACUGGGCGUAAAGCGCACGCAGGCGGUUUCUUAAGUUUGACGUGAAAACUCCUGGCUUAACUGGGAGAGGUCGUUGAAGACUGGGGAACUUGAGGCAAUGAGAGGGAUGUAGAAUUCACGGUGUAGUGGUGGAAUGCGUAGAUAUCGUGAGGAAUACCAGUGGCGAAAGCGACAUCCUGGCAUUAGCCUGACGCUCAUGUGCGAAAGCGUGGGGAGCGAACGGG